rnacentral:rRNA from 1 species
GCAGCAUGAUCUAGCUUGCUAGAUUGAUGGCGAGUGGCGAACGGGUGAGUAAUACAUCGGAACGUGCCCUGUAGUGGGGGAUAACUAGUCGAAAGAUUAGCUAAUACCGCAUACGACCUGAGGGUGAAAGUGGGGGACCGCAAGGCCUCAUGCUAUAGGAGCGGCCGAUGUCUGAUUAGCUAGUUGGUGGGGUAAAGGCCCACCAAGGCGACGAUCAGUAGCUGGUCUGAGAGGACGAUCAGCCACACUGGGACUGAGACACGGCCCAGACUCCUACGGGAGGCAGCAGUGGGGAAUUUUGGACAAUGGGCGAAAGCCUGAUCCAGCAAUGCCGCGUGUGUGAAGGAGGCCUUCGGGUUGUAAAGCACUUUUGUCCGGAAAGAAAUGGCUCUGGUUAAUACCUGGGGUCGAUGACGGUACCGGAAGAAUAAGGACCGGCUAACUACGUGCCAGCAGCCGCGGUAAUACGUAGGGUCCAAGCGUUAAUCGGAAUUACUGGGCGUAAAGCGUGCGCAGGCGGUUGUGCAAGACCGAUGUGAAAUCCCCGAGCUUAACUUGGGAAUUGCAUUGGUGACUGCACGGCUAGAGUGUGUCAGAGGGGGGUAGAAUUCCACGUGUAGCAGUGAAAUGCGUAGAGAUGUGGAGGAAUACCGAUGGCGAAGGCAGCCCCCUGGGAUAACACUGACGCUCAUGCACGAAAGCGUGGGGAGCAAACAGGAUUAGAUACCCUGGUAGUCCACGCCCUAAACGAUGUCAACUAGUUGUUGGGGAUUCAUUUCCUUAGUAACGUAGCUAACGCGUGAAGUUGACCGCCUGGGGAGUACGGUCGCAAGAUUAAAACUCAAAGGAAUUGACGGGGACCCGCACAAGCGGUGGAUGAUGUGGAUUAAUUCGAUGCAACGCGAAAAACCUUACCUACCCUUGACAUGCCACUAACGAAGCAGAGAUGCAUUAGGUGCUCGAAAGAGAAAGUGGACACAGGUGCUGCAUGGCUGUCGUCAGCUCGUGUCGUGAGAUGUUGGGUUAAGUCCCGCAACGAGCGCAACCCUUGUCUCUAGUUGCUACGAAAGGGCACUCUAGAGAGACUGCCGGUGACAAACCGGAGGAAGGUGGGGAUGACGUCAAGUCCUCAUGGCCCUUAUGGGUAGGGCUUCACACGUCAUACAAUGGUGCAUACAGAGGGUUGCCAAGCCGCGAGGUGGAGCUAAUCCCAGAAAAUGCAUCGUAGUCCGGAUCGUAGUCUGCAACUCGACUACGUGAAGCUGGAAUCGCUAGUAAUCGCGGAUCAGCAUGCCGCGGUGAUACGUUCCCGGGUCUUGUACACACCGCCCGUCACACCAUGGGAGUGGGCUUUACCAGAAGUAGUUAGCCUA